rnacentral:rRNA from 1 species
GUGGGGAAUAUUGGACAAUGGGGGCAACCCUGAUCCAGCCAUGCCGCGUGAGUGAUGAAGGCCUUAGGGUUGUAAAGCUCUUUCGUCAGGGAAGAUAAUGACGGUACCUGAAGAAGAAGCCCCGGCUAACUUCGUGCCAGCAGCCGCGGUAAUACGAAGGGGGCUAGCGUUGUUCGGAAUUACUGGGCGUAAAGCGCACGUAGGCGGACAUUUAAGUCAGGGGUGAAAUCCCAGGGCUCAACCCUGGAACUGCCUUUGAUACUGGGUGUCUUGAGUACGAGAGAGGUGAGUGGAAUUCCGAGUGUAGAGGUGAAAUUCGUAGAUAUUCGGAAGAACACCAGUGGCGAAGGCGGCUCACUGGCUCGUAACUGACGCUGAGGUGCGAAAGCGUGGGGAGCAAACAGG